rnacentral:rRNA from 1 species
GACUACUGGGGUAUCUAAUCCUGUUUGCUCCCCACGCUUUCGUGCAUGAGCGUCAGUACAGGCCCAGGGGAUUGCCUUCGCCAUUGGUGUUCCUCCGCAUAUCUACGCAUUUCACUGCUACACGCGGAAUUCCAUCCCCCUCUGCCGUACUCUAGCCUUGCAGUCACAAAUGCAGUUCCCAGGUUGAGCCCGGGGAUUUCACAUCUGUCUUGCAAAGCCGCCUGCGCACGCUUUACGCCCAGUAAUUCCGAUUAACGCUCGCACCCUACGUAUUACCGCGGCUGCUGGCACGUAGUUAGCCGGUGCUUAUUCUUCAGGUACCGUCAUCCUCCCGGGGUAUUAGCCCAGAAGAUUUCUUCCCUGACAAAAGCAGUUUACAACCCGAAGGCCUUCUUCCUGCACGCGGCAUUGCUGGAUCAGGCUUGCGCCCAUUGUCCAAAAUUCCCCACUGCAGCCCCCCGUAGG